rnacentral:rRNA from 1 species
CCUACGGGUGGCAGCAGUGAGGAAUAUUGGUCAAUGGGCGCGAGCCUGAACCAGCCAAGUAGCGUGAAGGAUGACUGCCCUACGGGUUGUAAACUUCUUUUAUAAAGGAAUAAAGUGAGGCACGUGUGCCCUUUUGUAUGUACUUUAUGAAUAAGGAUCGGCUAACUCCGUGCCAGCAGCCGCGGUAAUACGGAGGAUCCGAGCGUUAUCCGGAUUUAUUGGGUUUAAAGGGAGCGUAGAUGGGUUGUUAAGUCAGUUGUGAAAGUUUGCGGCUCAACCGUUAAAUUGCAGUGGAUACUGGCAGCCUUGAGUACAGUUGAGGUAGGCGGAAUUCGCGGUGGAGCGGUGAAAUGCUUAGAUAUCACGAAGAACUCCGAGUGCGAAGGCAGCCUACUAACCUGCCACUGACAUUGAUGCUCGAAAGUGUGGGUAUCAAACAGGAUUAGAUACCCGGGUAGUC